AUGACUCGCAUCAAUACCGCUGCAUGGACGACGAGGGCCUCGGUGUGGGAAUGGUGGACUGAAAACGUUCAUAUUCGUAGUGAAUCCUCCAAGGCGCUUGCUUUGUUGAUGAUGCUCAUCUCUUGAAAGAUUUGGUCGGAGCGCAAUGCUAGAAUCUUCCGCAACACGGCCGUUCCUUCUGUUGUCCUUAUUAUCAAGAUUAAAGAGGAGUUGUCCUUGUGGACUUUGGCGGGCGCCAAGCACUUGAGUACUAUAAUACCGUGAGAAUAG
rnacentral:rRNA from 1 species